AUUAGUUAUCUUGGUAUCUAUAAAAAAUUAAAAAAACAAAACAUAAAAAGGAAUAGAUGGAAUAUUAAUUUAAAUGAUUUAUUUGGUGAAAGAGAGUUCAUAGGAAUAUUUUAAUAGAAUUUGCUCAAAAUUUAAUUGGACUUCUCUUCAUAGACUUUUGCACUGAGGAGUUUUGAUUUGGUUCCCCAGAUUUUUAUCUUUUUCUUUAAUAUAUUUUGUGGUUGCCUUUA
rnacentral:lncRNA from 1 species